CUGGAUCCCUGACGGCAAGCCACAAGUUCCAAUAUUCCACCAGAUCAUGACACCAUGGAGUUAGAAGCUGCUUCUCACCUGCAAUAAGAAGAGGAAGUCUCCGCAGGGAGUUCUCUGGAGUCUCACCAUGGACCUUCCAUUUCUUGUAAGACUUUUAAAUUAAGAGCUGGCCGUGGCUGCCCCUGCAAGCAAAGCAGUUUGGAGCAGCUGGACAGAAUGCUGGAGGAGAGACGCAGCUGGGCCGUUCUCUCCGGAGAGUAAGAUGCAUCCUCGGAGGUUGACUCAGCUGCUAGGAAACCUCCCAUGACUAGCGGGCUCUGUUCCCCCCGUUAACUACGCAGUUUUUUUCGGAAACCAUAUUUGCAAUAGCUUGAAUAAUAUUAACUUUCUAAACUGACUAGAAAACAAAAUAAUCUGCUCCUAGAAAGGAGCAGCAAGUGCCUCUUAUAUCUAGAUUAAACAUACAGCUAAAAUAUUUUUUUAAGUAAGGUGACUUGUGCCAGACAGUAGUAUAGUGUUCUGGUUACAAAGAAUCUAGGGUCUACCGCUUCUUAGCCACGUGCAUUUAUUUGCACAGGUGUCUUGAUUUCAUUGAGCCUCAGUUUCUUCCAUCUGUAAAAUCGUGACAAUAAUGGCAUCUGAGUUUAUUUUUAGUGAAAUGCUCAUUUGCAAGUGACCAGCCUUUUCCCCAAGUUUAGAGAAAGUCUCCUCAAUAUAUUUGUUGCUAGUAAGACUAUCCUGCCAUUUAUUAUAGAAAUUGUGAGGUGCUGGCAAUGAAACUGUGCAAUCUGCCGAGUGAGCCACUUUUGGUGGCUCCGGGUCUAACUGCCAUGUAGAUUUAGACCCUGUGAACCUCUGUACUGCAAUCUUCGCUUUCUCUUUGAGUUUG
rnacentral:lncRNA from 1 species